UAAAUCACGGCCAGCUGUACGUCAGAUGCGAUAAUUGGACUCUAAUUUUCAUACGACGAACAUACGACGAAGAAAAAUAGUUUCACCAUGUGUGAAAAACAAGAAAUCCAGAGGGAAACAUCAAGACAUCUAAUCACCAUAAAGACCGGUGGCCAUCUCCAGAUACAGAUCAGUGAUUGGCGAGGAGGCGAUGCUUUCAGGUGUGUUGGAUUUCUAACCUGCUCCAGAUCAGCUUAUUCUCCCAGCAUCAGUUACCAGAGGCUGACAGACCCAGAGGGCCAACGUGUGAUUACAUCUCUGUGUUAUAAGCUCUUCCUCUGGCCUGCUUGGGGAUUUGCUGAAGGAGGCACAUGAAAGUUAUGAAAAGUUCUGCCUUGGUUCAAACAUGGCAGCUCUGUCAGUAAUGUACCCUACAUUCACUCUCAACCAAAGGAAAUCCUGCUUUCUCAUGCAGUCUUCCACCUGCUCUUUUCAUCUCUGCACCACAGAUUAAUAUUGCAGAGCGUGUAGCCCCUGCCCUCAUCUUCUCCCUUCUACCUCUUGUUGUUUCUGCAUCCCACCAUUCCCAGGCUCUUUCACUUCUUUGCCUCCCCCCACCGGCUCCUCUGCCUCUGUUCUCGACUUGUGGAUAUUACAUUUUCUUCCAUCCAUCCCCCCUAUUGUCGUCUGCCUCUCCGUCUCAAUCAAGAACGCCGUGAGGUUUUAUGAAUACAUCAAAAACAAUCAUGGACGAUCCGGGGAGGCAUGUAGGGAGGCAACAAGGCGAGACGAUUGCAGCUGGAACAGACGGAUGAGAAAGAGGAAGAGAGAAAGGUGGAAGAAAGAAGAGCAAAGAGAGGGAGUGAUGCAGCACUGUAGAAUUUUAAUGAGUACCAGAGGGAAUAUCUUUUUCACUUUUUUUUUUGUCUCGCUCAUUUUCCAUAUUUUUCCUUUUCAAGGGGGCACCCUGACAUGGCCUCGUAAAUUUGACUGAUAGAUGACCAUAAGGAGAAUUUUUAUUUUAUGUUUUAUGGAGUUGUGUGGAUCGCUUAAAAGCACGCAGUAUCCUACCUGCAUCAGAUAAAUCUCAGAGAAGUUUAAGUCGACAUUCUCUAUGUUCUUAAUAUUUGCAUAUCUUGCU